rnacentral:rRNA from 1 species
UUGAGCGGAGAUAUAUGGAGCUUGCUUUAUAUAACUUAGCAGCGAACGGGUGAGUAACACGUAGAUAAUCUAUCCUAUACUGGGGGAUAGCCCGAUGAAAGUUGGAUUAAUACCGCAUAUAGCUAUAUAGUUGCAUGAUUAUGUAGUGAAAGAUUUAUUGGUAUAGGAGGAGUCUGCGGCACAUUAGCUAGUAGGUGAGGUAAAGGCUUACCUAGGCGACGAUGUGUAGCCGGUCUGAGAGGAUGAACGGCCACAAUGGAACUGAGACACGGUCCAUACUCCUACGGGAGGCAGCAGUGGGGAAUAUUGCACAAUGGGGGAAACCCUGAUGCAGCAACGCCGCGUGAGUGAAGAAGGUUUUCGGAUUGUAAAGCUCUGUUAGCAGGGAAGAGGAAGGACGGUACCUGCAGAGGAAGCCACGGCUAACUACGUGCCAGCAGCCGCGGUAAUACGUAGGUGGCAAGCGUUGUUCGGAAUAACUGGGCGUAAAGGAUGCGUAGGCGGUUAAACAAGUUAUAUGUUAAAUAUAUAGGCUUAACCUGUAGAAAGCAUAUAAAACUGUUUAACUAGAGUGCAGGAGAGGUAAGUGGAAUUCCUAGUGUAGCGGUGAAAUGCGUAGAGAUUAGGAAGAACACCAGUGGCGAAGGCGACUUACUGGACUGUAACUGACGCUGAGGCAUGAGAGCAUGGGGAGCAAACAGGAUUAGAUACCCUGGUAGUCCAUGCUGUAAACGAUGGGUACUAGGUGUGGGUUGUGAAUAAC